GGCCCACUGAACACAGACAUCUUGCUGAAUUCAGGAGGAUUUGAGGCCAGUGGCCAACAUGGGCUCAGUGCAGCAGCUCUGCUGACGAGGAAGCACCCACCUCACUGGAGAAGAUCCACACUCUCAUCCUCAAAGGGCAUCUUGUCUUCCCCUACAGUGGCUGUAGCAGGGGUUCCUGUGCACCACGCUGGUUGGAUGAAGUCGAUGCCUCGUGAUGAAUGGUGGGCAAAGACAGAGCCUCUAUUCCAUGUACAUAGAGGUUCAAGGACCACUAAUACUCCAUGGAACCACUGAUAUGCCUAAGUGUUCAUAGGCCCACUAAUAUUUCAUGUGCAUAUGUAGUCAUGGGA